CACAGCCAGCUGAUCUGAUGGUUUGUAGUUGGUGGGACCUUGCCACGUCAUCUUGGAUAUGCCCCAGUGAAGGAUUGGACUCAAUCGAUUGACUAGUUACCUAUUAGCGGACUCGGUCGGCUAACUAUCAUGGGUGCAUCUGCAUUUUUCUAAUUACCUAUUAUUCUAAUUAUAACAAUAAUAUGAAGAUGAUGUCAUUAACAUGCUUUCUUGUUUAUUUUUAAGAAGAUUAAAUUAUAAAAUAAAAUUGAAACAAGUUCGGGG
rnacentral:lncRNA from 1 species